GACGAACGCUGGCGGCGUGCUUAACACAUGCAAGUCGAACGGAGUGGCGAACGGGUGAGUAUUACGUGAGUAACCUGCCCUCAACUGUGGGAUAAGCCUGGGAAACUGGGUCUAAUACUGCAUAGUUGGGGAUGGGCUCGGGGCGUAUCAGCGUGUUGGUGGGGUGAUGGCCUACCAAGGCGGGGUGGGGUAGCCGGCCUGAGAGGGUGGUCGGGCUCAUUGGAACGGGUAGACGGCCCAGACUCCUACUGGAGGCAGCAGUGGGGGAUAUUGCACAAGGCGGGCGAGCCUGAUGCAGCGACGCCGCGUGAGGGAUGAAGGCUUUCGGUUUGUAAACCUCUGUCGUUACAGAACGGGUAUGUACAGAAGAAGCGCCGGCUAACUACGUGCCAGCCGCCGCGGUAAUAC
rnacentral:rRNA from 1 species